rnacentral:lncRNA from 10 species
ACAAAGACUCCGCAGGGAGCUGGCUGCAGACACCCACUCAGUCCAGUCCUGUGGGCACACAGUUGGGUCUUAGGGGAAAAAGAAAGCUUAAGUUAAAACUGCAACAGCUCUUCCAGGAAAGAAUUUUUUCAACCCAGGGACACAAAGAGCGCUGCUUUGGAAACCUUCUAACAGAGCGGAACAUGAAGGCGAGCACACCCCCGCCCAGGUUUGACUCAGGGAGGACCCAGGGACCUCGGGCUGGAGCCCAGCAGGAGCCGGGAACUGCCUUCUGUGGAUCACAGCUGAAAGGGGUAGCCAUUCAGAAUCUCUGACAAAGGGCCACCGACUUAAGGUCCCCAGCUUCUACAGCUUCACCAGACCCUGCUCAGCAAGAAGGUGCUGACAAAACCCAUAUGCGUCCAAUCCCACUUCCAGGGAAGCCCCUGCCAAAUAAGCAUGGGAGCCAUGCUUCCCGCUGCCCAUCAGAACCGGCGAUUUUGAAUCUCUCUUUCCACGGCAGUAGCUCCUGCAAGAGCCCCCAUCCCCAUCGUGCCACUCAGCCGGGCUGGGGCUGCUGGGGAAGCCCUGUGUUCCCAGGGCUUUGCCCUCUGUGUCUUAGCAGCCACAGCUCCUGACUUCCAUUCCCCCUUCAAAGUCCGUGGGAGGGAAGAGGAGGGAAACUAGGAGAGACUUUGGAAUCUAAAGGAAACAAGGAGGAUGUUUUCCUAAUGCCCAGAGGAUAUGUGUAACUCUUUUUCUGCAGACAGAAGCUUCGUCGGUACUGGGGUUAGUUCCUGCAGUAUUUGGUAUCCUAACUCAGCGGUUAUGGUUUAUCUAGCCCGUGUGAACUGGUCCAGGAAGACGAGCACCCUUCCCAACUUAGUCUACACAAGAGAGUGCUUCGCUUUAGGGAUUUUUUAAAAACUUGAAAACAGCUUUGAAACACAAUUCAUCGGUACAUUUUCUUCUCAUGGCAUUUAGAUAUUAAAAACAUGUGCAUGCAGGUUCUCCAACAUUAGAAUAAGACUUAAAAGGAUGGAAACCUACGUCAUUUGUGGAGUAUCUGUUUUGCUCAGAAAUGGACCACGAUAGCAUCGUGGCACCGUAAGGUGGUGAAGUACUACAGAUAGCACAAGGAAGACCAUUUGAACUCCAAAAGGCUGUGAUUGACAAAAACUAACAAGAGACAGCCCCCCAGGAAAUUCAGGGUUUAUUGCUGAAUUCUCAUGUAUGAAAGUUUGUGGGAUUUGUAAUCACAGGGGCUACCUCCCAGGAAACCGUGAUAGCCAUUUUUCCACCGUAGUUUUGCACUUAAUGGACUUUGCCUCCCAUAAUUCAGGAAAAUGUCUUUUGUUGUGCACAGUGGAGGCCGAGUGCUAUUGAGAGUGUGUGUCCUACAAAGGGCCUCACUAUCUGAGGUCUGCAGCCUGUCUCCUAGGCACUCCCCACUUCAAGAAGCAGCUCUGAGAACAGAUUAAUGCCUGGAUGCCAAGGAGCAAUGAAGUUCACCCAUCUUAUCCAGGGGCUGAGCUAAUCUCCUUAAACCUUUGUACAAGAGCGGGGCCAGUCACCCACAUGAUGCUGUCAAUGUGCUUUCAAAGCCCCACUUCAAAGAGGGAGAUCAAAUGGGGGGUAAUUGAAAGGGACAGCGAUGUGAGGGGGUUCCUGAGACGCCCCCCAACGAUGACUAUGAAUGCGGCACACACCACCCAAAUGACAGGAAGGCAAUGCGUUGCGGUGGCUGGACUCCAGGAAGGAGCUCUGCGGGAACGAUGAGGUCUGUGGGUUUUGCUGCUGCUGUUGCUUUUGCUGUUGGUGGGCUUUGAGAAAAACACGACUGGCCGGGCUCCCUGCCUUCUCCUUCUCCUGUCGAAGUCUCUACAGCUAGGACCCUCCUGUCCUGACAGGCUCAGCUCUGCAUCUUGAGGUCCCUCUGACCUCCCAGCUGACCCUCCAUGUAACCCAGGCUCACCCAGGACUCUUUGGGACCUGAAGAUGCUCUAUUCAUCCAUUUGUGCUGAUUAAUAAAGUGAAUUCUGAACAUC